UACGUAGGGUGCAGGCGUUAAUCGGAAUUACUGGGCGUAAAGCGUGCGCAGGCGGUCUGCUAAGUGAGGUGUGAAAUCCCCGGGCUUAACCUGGGAACUGCGCUUCUAACUGGCAGGCUAGAGUGUGGCAGAGGGGGGUGGAAUUCCACGUGUAGCAGUGAAAUGCGUAGAUAUGUGGAGGAACACCGAUGGCGAAGGCAGCCCCCUGGGUCAAGACUGACGCUCAUGCACGAAAGCGUGGGGAGCAAACAGG
rnacentral:rRNA from 1 species